UGGUGGCGACCGGCGCACGGGUGAGUAACGCGUAUGCAACCCACCUAUCAGAGGGGGAUAACCCGGCGAAAGUCGGACUAAUACCUCAUAAAACAGGGGCACCGCAUGGUGAUAUUUGUUAAAAAUUUAUUGCUGAUAGAUGGGCAUGCGUUCCAUUAGGUAGUUGGAGAGGUAACGGCUCACCAAGCCUACGAUGGAUAGGGGAACUGAGAGGUUGGUCCCCCACACUGGUACUGAGACACGGACCAGACUCCUACGGGAGGCAGCAGUGAGGAAUAUUGGUCAAUGGGCGAGAGCCUGAACCAGCCAAGUCGCGUGAAGGAAGAAGGAUCUAUGGUUCGUAAACUUCUUUUGCAGGGGAAUAAAGUGCAGGACGUGUCCUGUUUUGUAUGUACCCUGAGAAUAAGGAUCGGCUAACUCCGUGCCAGCAGCCGCGGUAAUACGGAGGAUCCGAGCGUUAUCCGGAUUUAUUGGGUUUAAAGGGUGCGUAGGUGGUUUAAUAAGUCAGCGGUGAAAGUUUGCAGCUUAACUGUAAAAAUGCCGUUGAAACUGUUAGACUUGAGUGUAAAUGAGGUAGGCGGAAUGCGUGGUGUAGCGGUGAAAUGCUUAGAUAUCACGAAGAACUCCGAUUG
rnacentral:rRNA from 1 species